rnacentral:rRNA from 1 species
AGUGAACGCUGGCGGUAGGCCUAACACAUGCAAGUCGAACGGCAGCACAGUAAGAGCUUGCUCUUACGGGUGGCGAGUGGCGGACGGGUGAGGAAUACAUCGGAAUCUACUUUUUCGUGGGGGAUAACGUAGGGAAACUUACGCUAAUACCGCAUACGCCCUACGGGUGAAAGCAGGGGAUCUUCGGACCUUGCGCGAUUGAAUGAGCCGAUGUCGGAUUAGCUAGUUGGCGGGGUAAAGGCCCACCAAGGCGACGAUCCGUAGCUGGUCUGAGAGGAUGACCAGCCACACUGGAACUGAGACACGGUCCAGACUCCUACGGGAGGCAGCAGUGGGGAAUAUUGGACAAUGGGCGCAAGCAUGAUCCAGCCAUACCGCGUGGGUGAAGAAGGCCUUCGGGUUGUAAAGCCCUUUUGUUGGGAAAGAAAAGCAGCAGGUUAAUACCCCACUGUUCUGACGGUACCCAAAGAAUAAGCACCGGCUAACUUCGUG